rnacentral:rRNA from 1 species
AGAGUUUGAUCCUGGCUCAGGACGAACGCUGGCGGCGUGCCUAACACAUGCAAGUCGAGCGAAGUAUAUCUAAGUGAAGUUUUCGGACAGAACGAAGAUAUAUCUUAGCGGCGGACGGGUGAGUAACGCGUGAGCAACCUGCCUUUCACAAAGGGAUAGCCUCGGGAAACUGGGAUUAAUACCAUAUAAAACUUACCUUUCGCAUGAAAGGAAAGUCAAAGCGAUAAGCGGUGAAAGAUGGGCUCGCGUCCUAUUAGCUAGUUGGUGAGGUAACGGCUCACCAAGGCGACGAUAGGUAGCCGGCCUGAGAGGGUGAACGGCCACACUGGAACUGAGACACGGUCCAGACUCCUACGGGAGGCAGCAGUGGGGGAUAUUGCACAAUGGAGGAAACUCUGAUGCAGCGACGCCGCGUGAGUGAAGAAGGCCUUCGGGUCGUAAAGCUCUGUCCUAGGGGAAGAUAAUGACGGUACCCUAGGAGGAAGCCCCGGCUAACUACGUGCCAGCAGCCGCGGUAAUACGUAGGGGGCGAGCGUUGUCCGGAAUUACUGGGCGUAAAGAGUUCGUAGGCGGUUUGAUAAGUCAGAUGUGAAAGGCGUAGGCUUAACCUAUGUAAGCAUAUGAAACUGUCAGACUUGAGGUAAGGAGAGGAACGUGGAAUUCCUAGUGUAGCGGUGAAAUGCGUAGAUAUUAGGAGGAAUACCAGUGGCGAAGGCGACUUUCUGGACUUAAACUGACGCUGAGGAACGAAAGCGUGGGGAGCAAACAGGAUUAGAUACCCUGGUAGUCCACGCCGUAAACGAUGAGUGCUAGGUGUCGGGUAGAAAUAUUCGGUGCCGCAGCUAACGCAAUAAGCACUCCGCCUGGGGAGUACGUACGCAAGUAUGAAACUCAAAUGAAUUGACGG